rnacentral:rRNA from 1 species
UACGUAGGGUGCAAGCGUUAAUCGGAAUUACUGGGCGUAAAGCGUGCGCAGGCGGCUUUGCAAGACAGAUGUGAAAUCCCCGGGCUUAACCUGGGAACUGCAUUCGAGACUGCAUUGCUAGAGUAUGGGAGAGGGAAGUGGAAUUUCCGGUGUAGCGGUGAAAUGCGUAGAUAUCGGAAGGAACAUCAGUGGCGAAAGCGACUUCCUGGACCAAUACUGACGCUCAUGUGCGAAAGCGUGGGGAGCAAACAGG